AACGCGAAGAACCUUACCUGGGCUCGAAAUGUAGUGGAAUAGGGUGGAAACAUCCUAGUCUCGCAAGAGACUGCUAUAUAGGUGCUGCAUGGCUGUCGUCAGCUCGUGUCGUGAGAUGUUGGGUUAAGUCCCGCAACGAGCGCAACCCUUAUCGUUUUGUUGCCACCGGGUAAUGCCGAGCACUCGAACGAAACCGCCUGGGAUAACCAGGAGGAAGGUGGGGAUGACGUCAAGUCCUCAUGGCCUUUAUGUCCAGGGCUACACACGUGCUACAAUGGUCGGUACAAACCGUCGCAAACCCGUGAGGGGAAGCUAAUCGGAAAAAGCCGGCCUCAGUUCGGAUUGGAGUCUGCAACCCGACUCCAUGAAGCUGGAAUCGCUAGUAAUCGCGGAUCAGAACGCCGCGGUGAAUACGUUCCCGGGCCUUGUACACACCGCAUAC
rnacentral:rRNA from 1 species